GCCCGGUUAGCUCAAUCGGUAGAGCGUGAGACUCUUAAUCUCAAGGUUGCGGGUGAGUGCCUCCGAAUAUUAUUCGGAAAUAUUCACUUUCUCAUUGUACUAAUCCUCCCGUCAUAGGUUCGACCCCCGCAUCGGGCU